rnacentral:lncRNA from 1 species
AUGAUCCUGGAGUCCCGAGAUCGAGUCCCGCAUCGGGCUCCCUGCAUGGAGCCUGCUUCUCCCUCUGCCUGGGUCUCUGCCUCUCUCUGUGUCUCUGUCUCAAAUAAACAAAUAAAAAAAAUAAAAAUACGUGACCUUCCCGGUCUCCGGCAGGGGUGGCAGGGGAACUCCGACGGGCCACCGGGCAGGGCAGGUGGAUCAACCGGCGCGUCGCAGGGGCUUGUGGGAGGUGCCGCGGGGGCUUGUGGGGGUUGCCGCGGGCUCUUCCUGUGCAGCUGUGCAGUGCUGCGGGGCGGCGGGCGCGGGAGUUCCCGCGACUCCUCGCAGCGCCCCCAGCUGCUUGCGGAGAGACUGGGGCUCACAGGGGCCUCUGGGUCAGCGGAACGACGCGGAUCAGAACGCGAGAGUGCGGGGCUUAGUGGCGUCUGCCCCCGAGUGGCUCCCGGGUCCCUUCUCCCCCGGACUCCCUGCGGCCGGCUGCUCCGUCCGGCUCCGAGCCCCACCCUCAUCCCCCCGACCCAGAUCCGGGUCGCGAUUUCGAGUCUCGCCUCGGAGCAGUGUGCUCCCGUGCUCCCCGGGACUCGGGUUUCUCUCUCGAGUGCCUGCUGGGCCGCUCCUGUGUCCAGAGGUCCCUAGCCCGCGUUGCUGCAGGUAUGUAUCCUGACAGGUGCUUAGCGGACCUUUGCGCCCGGCUGGCUGGCGGGGAGGAGGCAGGAACAGAGAUUUGGAGCCCGGGAGAAAGAUGCCAGCUGAGAACAAGCCAUGCUCUUGAUGAAUGGGGGCUGCAGCUCCACGGGCAGCUGGAACCCAUCUUGAGGGGACACACCUGUGACCUGAGGCCUGCCAAAACGGAGCCAGCACUGGGGUGGAGCCGCUGGGGCUGCGGAGGUUACUUAGCAAGGCUUGGGUCAGGGGACCACUUUCGGAGAACAGGGAGACGCAGUGGAAGUCUUGACUCAAAACAGAGGAAAGACCACUUCAGUGAGAUGGUGAACAGGAUGCAGUGUGGAGAAAAGAAGGCAUCCUCAGGCAGGGGGGUGAGGGAACGGUUCAGACAAGGCAGAAACAAUGGCCACAGUCCCUGGGAGUUACCAGGAAGGCUUGGUGUCUCAUGGCUCCUUUCUUCUCCAGCUCUGCCUCCUUAACUCUGACCUCGCCCAGGAGGAAGAAGAGGUGACCAAUUCCCAGGUAAGAUGCAGUCCGGACCAGUCCGGGCUCUUGAGGAAAAACUUUAAGUUCCUCUUUCUUCCCUAGAAAAGGAGAAGGAAACAUUCAUGGAGCACUUGCUGCAUGCUAGAUACACUCAACAUCGACUUUUCUUUUCAUUCUCAUGAUAAGUGUGAGAGGUGGAUAUUAUUCCCAUUUUAGAGAUAUAGCAACUGUCUCAGUGGGGGGUUAGAGACUGGUUAUGUUCACCAAGCUGUUAAGUGGGGAAGUCAGGAUUCAUCUCCAGGUCCCUUGCUUCUCCUGUUGUCAGUGGACUAGUCUUCUCCUCCAUGGCCUGGGCAUAAAUUGUCCUAUUCUGUGAAAUGAGGGACUCCAAAGAGAAUGCUACCCUCGGGCCUGAUGCUCUCCUUUUAAGUUUGUUAUCUUCUCUACCUGAACAUGUUGCUCCUUCAUUUAUCCACUGAGUUAUGACCGCUUUUUUUUAAUUUUUAUUUAUUUAUGAUAGUCACACAGAGAGAGAGGCAGAGACAUAGGCAGAGGGAGAAGCAGGCUCCAUGCACUGGGAGCCCGAUGUGGGAUUCGAUCCCGGGUCUCCAGGAUCGCGCCCUGGACCAAAGGCAGGCGCUAAACCGCUGCGCCACCCAGGGAUCCCUGAAGAGAAAGACAAAUUGGCUUAGAUACAGUUCUUCAAAAUUUGUGGUUUCUUUGGGGGAGAUGAAUAUACACGUGUGUCAAAUAGUGAUUACCACUCGUGUAUACAUUAAGUAUAAUGAAAGAAGCCAUAUUUAAGUGUCAGUCUGAGGAUGCAAGUCGGUGGUGUAUCAGUGCUGGAGAAGUGAUUGGGAAAGACUUCCUGUAGGAGGUGAGCUUUUGUUUCUUAAAGAGAAGAUUUGAGUAUAUGAACUUCCAUACCUCUUUCGAGUCUUUACUUUUUUUGUUGUUAAUUGUUUUAUGGCCUAGUAGGUGAUCAAUAUUUACAAGUUUCAUGUGUGCUUGAGUAGAAUAUGUAUUCUCUAAUGGUUGCUGCCAACAUCUAUGGGUGUCCAUUUAUUUUUGUUUGCUUGACCCUUCAGUAAUUGAGAAAGAAAAAAUGUGUGAAAUUUCUUUGAGUAGUGGAUAUGUCAGAUUCUCUCUACAAGACUAAGAUUUUUAAAAAGAUGUAAUUCGUGGAUGUUUUAAGAGGUAUAUACAAGUUUAGAGUUAUAGCUUCAUGGUGAAUUGAAAUUUUUAUCUCUGUAGUGACCUUUUAUUUCACUAGUGAUGCUUUUCAUCUAGAAAUCUACUUUGUUUAAUAUUAAGAUAGCUAUUCCAGCUUUAUUUUCCUUAUUAUUUGCUUGGUUUAUCUUUUCCCAUACUUUUAACUUUUUCAUGGCCUUAUGCUUUAGGCUUAUCCCUUACUAACAAUUUAAAGCUGAAUUCCCCCCUCAAUUUGAUCAUCUCUGCCUUUUUAACUGGUGGGUUUAGUUUAUUUGCAUUUAGUGUAGUUACUGGUGUAUUUGAUCUGUUUAUCUUUUUCCUUAAAAAAAAAAAAAUGGGCUCCAUAUCCAUUGUGGAGCCCAUUGUGGGGCUUGAACUCACAACCUUGAGAUCAAGAUCCAAGCUGAUUUAGAAUCUGACACAACUGACUGACCCACCCAGCUGCCCCUAUACUUAUACUUUUAAUUUUGUCUACUUUUUGUUUUUUUUUCUCUCCAUUCUUACCUUUUGUUUUUUGUAUACUGUUUUUUAAGGGCUAGUGCUUUCCCACCCCACCCUCCUCAUUUUUUUUAUNACCUAUAUCUACUCUUUAGGUGGCUGUCCUUGAAAUUUUACCAUAUAUUUGCAAAUCUAAGUUUAAACAACUUUAAGAAUAUUGCAAAGACUUUAAAACUCUUUAUUAGUGAUUGCAUCCUGACUUAUAAACUGUUAUUUUCUGCAUUUUAAUUCUGUUCUUUUAAUAAAUUAGGUAUUAUUAGAAUUAUUAUACA